rnacentral:rRNA from 1 species
GGAGUCUGGGCCGUGUCUCAGUCCCAAUGUGGCCGUUCAACCUCUCAGUCCGGCUACUGAUCGUCGACUUGGUGGGCCGUUACCUCACCAACUAUCUAAUCAGACGCGAGCCCAUCUUUCAGCGAUAAAUCUUUGGUAUCAGGAAGAUGCCUCCCCGACACGUUAUGCGGUAUUAACAGUCGUUUCCAACUGUUAUCCCCCUGUGUGAGGCAGGUUACCCACGCGUUACUCACCCGUCCGCCACUAAGUAUUAAGAAAUCCAUCCGAAAACUUCAUCCUCAAUACUCCGUUCGACUUGCAUGUGUUAAGCACGCCGCCAGCGUUCAUC